UGGCCUGCAGUCAGACUAAGCAUGCCCCUUGCUUCCAUCUUAAAAGAAAAUAAAGCCACUACAAUUUAUUGAGGGAUUACUAUGCACCAGGCAGGAUAAGGAAAUGGGAGGCCCAAAGAACUGAUCUCAGUGGCUUUGGACAGGGAUUCAAAUGAAAUAAAGUCUGUAGCUAUGAGAACAUAUCCAGGCCUGCCUGCUGAGGAUGAGAGAUACAUGGAAUGGAGUCAAGUUCCCCAGCUGAAACAGAGGAACCCAGCUUCAAUCUGCUAAACCCCUACAGACAUGAGUGAGGCCAGCCAAGAUCAGCAGAGCCACCUGGGUAGAACUUCCAGCACCAUAUUGAAUAAGAGUGAUGAGAGUGAAU